UGUGCAUGCACACUUCUUCAGAUACACAUCUGUAUCUGAAGAAACUGAGAGGAUUGUAUCUGAAGAAGUGUGCAUGCACA